rnacentral:rRNA from 1 species
GGUGAACGCUGGCGGCGUGCCUAAGACAUGCAAGUCGAGCGGGCCGCGGGGCUUUACUCCGUGGUCAGCGGCGGACGGGUGAGUAACGCGUGGGUGACCUACCCGGAAGAGGGGGACAACCCGGGGAAACUCGGGCUAAUCCCCCAUGUGGACCCGCCCCUUGGGGUGUGUCCAAAGGGCUUUGCCCGCUUCCGGAUGGGCCCGCGUCCCAUCAGCUAGUUGGUGGGGUAAUGGCCCCCCAAGGCGACGACGGGUAGCCGGCCUGAGAGGGUGGCCGGCCACAGGGGCCCUGAGACACGGGCCCCACUCCUCCGGGAGGCCGCAGUUAGGAAUCUUCCGCAAUGGGCGCAAGCCUGACGGCGCGACGCCGCUUGGAGGGAGAAGCCCUUCGGGGUGUAAACUCCUGAACCCGGGACGAAACCCCCGACGAGGGGACUGACGGUACCGGGGUAAUAGCGCCGGCCAACUCCGUG